UACAGAGGGGGCAAGCGUUGUUCGGAAUUACUGGGCGUAAAGGGCGCGUAGGCGGCCUUCUAAGUCAGACGUGAAAUCCCCCGGCUUAACCUGGGAACUGCGUCUGAUACUGGGGGGCUCGAGUAUGGGAGAGGGAUGUAGAAUUCCAGGUGUAGCGGUGAAAUGCGUAGAUAUCUGGAGGAAUACCGGUGGCGAAGGCGGCAUCCUGGAUCAUAACUGACGCUGAGGCGCGAAAGCUAGGGGAGCAAACGGG
rnacentral:rRNA from 1 species